rnacentral:rRNA from 1 species
UUAAUGAUAUGACGUACUGUACUGAUUGAGAUUUUAACACGAAGUGAGUGGCGAACGGGUGAGUAACACGUGGGUAACUGCCCAGAAGUAGGGGAUAACACCUGGAAACAGAUGCUAAUACCGUAUAACAGAGAAAACCGCAUGGUUUUCUUUUAAAAGAUGGCUCUGCUAUCACUUCUGGAUGGACCCGCGGCGUAUUAGCUAGUUGGUGAGGUAAAGGCUCACCAAGGCAGUGAUACGUAGCCGACCUGAGAGGGUAAUCGGCCACAUUGGGACUGAGACACGGCCCAGACUCCUACGGGAGGCAGCAGUAGGGAAUCUUCCACAAUGGACGCAAGUCUGAUGGAGCAACGCCGCGUGAGUGAAGAAGGGUUUCGGCUCGUAAAGCUCUGUUGUUAAAGAAGAACGUGGGUAAGAGUAACUGUUUACCCAGUGACGGUAUUUAACCAGAAAGCCACGGCUAACUACGUGCCAGCAGCCGCGGUAAUACGUAGGUGGCAAGCGUUAUCCGGAUUUAUUGGGCGUAAAGCGAGCGCAGGCGGUCUUUUAAGUCUAAUGUGAAAGCCUUCGGCUCAACCGAAGAAGUGCAUUGGAAACUGGGAGACUUGAGUGCAGAAGAGGACAGUGGAACUCCAUGUGUAGCGGUGAAAUGCGUAGAUAUAUGGAAGAACACCAGUGGCGAAGGCGGCUGUCUGGUCUGCAACUGACGCUGAGGCUCGAAAGCAUGGGUAGCGAACAGGAUUAGAUACCCUGGUAGUCCAUGCCGUAAACGAUGAUUACUAAGUGUUGGAGGGUUUCCGCCCUUCAGUGCUGCAGCUAACGCAUUAAGUAAUCCGCCUGGGGAGUACGACCGCAAGGUUGAAACUCAAAAGAAUUGACGGGGGCCCGCACAAGCGGUGGAGCAUGUGGUUUAAUUCGAAGCUACGCGAAGAACCUUACCAGGUCUUGACAUCUUCUGACAGUCUAAGAGAUUAGAGGUUCCCUUCGGGGACAGAAUGACAGGUGGUGCAUGGUGUCGUCA